CUGACCUCGUGAUCCACCCGUCUCGGCCUCCCAAAGUGCUGGGAUUACAGGCUUGAGCCACCGCGCCCGGCCACUAUUCACCUUUGACACGACCCCAAAAGCCCUCCCUUCCCAAAGCAACUACCUCACUGCAAGAAAUAUCUGCUAAAAAAAUUUUAGUCUUCUAGUUUUAAGGAGUGAUCUCUCAACCUGACGGUCAACCUGACAUUAAAAUUCAGAGAUAUUCCUAUUGACCUGUAUUAACUCCUGCGGUAGAGGCUAGGAAGACAGCCCUGAAUAAAACAGUCAACCUCCCCUUUUCUGCAGGAAGAAGGCAAACAUUAACAGAAUAGGGAGCUCAUGGAGUCAGCACUCCCGGAGACAAGACAGCCAGAUUUUCCUUAAAAAGUGACCCAAGGGCUGAAAACCAAAGGAGAAGUAGGAUUUUUCUCAACAACAACAUCUUGAGGCAUAAUAAUAAGUAAAAAACAACGCAUUGAAUGUGAUUAAAGCUUAUUUUUUUCCAUAGCAAUUACAACAAAUACAAUCUAGUCUGAAUUUGACACCGACCCCUCCCUCCCACUGCCACUACCAUGAAGCCAGUGGGGUUGUAAUCGUAGUUCCCACUGCACAGGCUUUGAGAAGGCUUCAGUGAAAUACCCAUGGUCACACAGCUACUCAGUAAAAGAAUACAAAAUAAUAAAUGAGCCUUCCAAUUCCAACUCCAGGAAACUUCUGAGCACAGCCUUCAGAGAAAUUGGCUGGGGAGUAGAGGUAAGAGGAGAGAUUAGCCUAACCUCAGAUGCCCAACUUCAGCAGUAGAACUCGGUUUUAUAAAUAAAUGCAGGAUUUAAUGGAAAGACUUCAGAGACAUAUCCAAGCUCAAAUCCCAGCUCUGCCAGUGAUUAGCUCUAACCUUGGGCAAAUAAUUCAACCCAACUAUAAUAUGUGACUCCUUCCAAGCUAGCAGGAAGAUUAAAUGAGCUACUAGAAGACAUACAACUAGUACCUGAUACCUUACAUGUUCUAAUAAAUUUGUCUUCUUUUUCCUGUAACCCAAGAAAAGAAGUAAAGCAAAAAUGUCGCUUCACAAGAGAGGCACUAGAAAAAAUACUCCAAAUGGCCAGCCGGCUGUGGAGCCCUCACGACCAAGAGGGAGGUGCAAAUAUUAAUAAUACUGGGAGGCAGGAGGGCACCCAUGGAUGAUGCCUGCUCUCCCCCUGAUUCAGCUCCAAGACAUAGGGAGAGUCAUUCACACUACAGCAGAAGGAAACCUAGAUAGGAUGUGUUCUAGAGGAAACAGGAGCCAAAAAAUAAGGAAGAGAAAUUGGGCAACUAGAUGAAAUACUUGGAUGUAGGACCCUCUUCUGUGCUCUUCCUUGAUACCUUGGCUCUGUUUGCACCUCAUAUGCCCUGUGACCUAUGUAUGUGACUGCCAUGAUUGUCCUUUUUGACAGAUAAAAAGAUUAAAGGCAGAUUUAGGUCCCUCCCAGAGUACACGUUUAUCUCAACAUGAAGUGCAUUUCUGGUCCAAUUUCUGCUUCCAGGUUGCUCUGCUCCAUACACUUUUUUGCUCCAACUUUAACUUGUGCUACUUUGUAAUAAUUUAUGUUCCUUUAUAAGACUCCUGAAAUCUCUUUAUGAAAAGAUAGGUAUAAGUGAAGAAAUGCAAGGCAAAUAAGUAAACAUUAGAUUUAAAAAGUUGUUUUUAACAUUCCCACUCGCCAGCCCUCAGGCUGUUUCUAAAUUCAGCUUCUGAAGCUCUAAACAUCUACUAUUGUUCAGGGCUGUUACGGCAUUCCAAGCAAAGUUUCCUUUAAAUAAGAAAACCCUAUAAAAAUGCCCAAGUUAAAACCAACAAACAAGAUCUUGUCCUUAGAUUGUCACUGCUGCCCUGUGUUGGGUCUUCACUGCAGCGAGGCGUGGGUCAUUCUUAGCUGCUUUACUUCAGAAUCACCCCCAGCCCCAUUCUUCUGGGGCCACCUCUUCCAUGAAGGCUGGAAAAACAAAAAGCACCUUUUCCCAGCUUUCACUGUAGGUAGCAAGCCCAUGAGACCCAUCGUUUCCUGAUAAAAGUACAGAAAGUGCCAGCAAUUUUCUUUUUCUCCUGACUUGGACACAGAUGAGAUGGCUAGAGCUGGAGCAGUCACCUUUUGACACUGAGGCAAUAAGCCAUCAUGCUGAGAAUGGCAGAGCAAAAAGAUGAAAACAGCAGCUUUUGGACUGUCUGGCUCCAAGUGUAUUGUUAACUGAGACAUAUAAGCCUCUGCAUGACUAAGUUAGUAUUAGUCGAGUUUCUAUUCCUCGAAGCUAAAAGGCUUCUCAACUAAGACAUAUGUAAAUAUAGAUAGAGAUUAGGUAUAGAUAUAGAUGUAGACAUAGAUAUAGAUAUAGAUAUAGUUAUCCAUAGAUAGAUUUAUCCCUAGAAAAUCAUUCUUUUUCAGUGCAGGCAUGUUUAAGAAAAUACAGCUUAAUUGCUCUACACAGAAUGAAUCUAUCGACUAAAUUGUCGUCUGAACCCAAAUGUACAUGCAUAGUGUCUCCAGGUUAUUUUCCUUAACAUGUUGUACAAAAUAACACAUCUAAAUCCACAGCAAUAAUAGGGAGACAGACACAACAAACUCCAUGCCAACUCAUUUUCCCUGAAGAUACAAUGUAACUGCAUGUGAAUAAUUAUCCCUAAAUCUAGAAAGAAUCUUGAGUAGGAUGAGGUUAAAGUAUGAGAACAAGGGAGAACCUCAGAUUAGUAUAAGAAUAAAUAGCUUUCAAUCCCAAAGCAACUCUAUUUCAAACAAGAAAAUUAGAAAUGUGUUCUUAUUUUUAUCACUGCCAUUCUCAAAGCCCAAUAGAUUGAUGAUGCAAACAACUUGGAAGACUUUUUUUAUCCAAACGACUCCUGGUUAAGCCAGACUGGCAGACCCACAUGUCCAUCAGUUGCUCCGUCCCCUUCUCUCUAUUUGUUCCCUUGAUGCGGGGGGAGGUGCUUUCUCCUGUUCACACUGUCCUGGCACUGAAUUUCUGGAUCCAUUUCCCAACUGACAUCUGCCUCUGCCCUGCUCCUCUGACUGUUGAGAACAUCCUGAUUCACCUUCUGGUAUUUUGGACCUCAGCUCUCUUCUAAUUUAUGAGCUCAGUUACUCUUCCAGUGUGACAGUCUCCUAGAACAAAUUGCAGUCCCAGCUCAGCUGGACUGAGAUAAGGAGGAACUCCAGCCCAACUCCAAAAGAAAAGCUCCGUUUCCCCUCCAUCCCCAGUAACAGGAUUUCAGACAAAGACAAUGAAGCCAGAGGUGAAAGGGUAAAGAAUAGAAGCCACAUCACUUUGCCCCGGUCAUAAAUUACCUGUUUUCAUCUGUGGAACCAUCCUCGUGGAGGGAAGGGAAGACAGUGUACCAUGCUGAACACAGGUGAGACCAUCGUGAAUUGAAGAGGUUUCCUGAAAUGGAAAGAUGAGGACAUAUAUGGUAAAUGGAGGCUUCUGGGUCUUUUCUGAAGGAAAUUAUCGAACCACAGGGACAGAAAAAAACUGGUUAUAUGAAGUUGACCUUUUGAUCAUGAUGAGUUUUAGAAGCAACCCUAUGUUCCUCUCCCCUUCUAUGCCAUCGCCACUUAGUGAGGCUCUAGCAGUGAUGACAGAUCAACUCUCCCCAUAAUUGAUAUCAUGGAAUGUCAUUAGUUACAGGGAUUGGGAUUCAAUAAAGUUAAAGCAGGCUUAGGAGAUCCUGUUUGAGGAAUUUAAUAUAUGGGGCCUUGUAUGCACUCCUAAGUACUUUGACCAAACUGAAAAUAUGUUCUAAAGAGGACAGUUUCCAAACUGUGCAGCAAAGAGGGCAGAGUCUACCUGAUGGAACUGUGUUAGUUAGAUAGAAAUACUAGUCAUUAGGGGUAUGAAUGAGUAAAUCUGUCUAUACGUUUCCAUGCAAAUAGAGAUUGGGAAGGAGCCAUAGUCACCUGCCACCACCCUUUCCUCACUGAACCCUGAUUUUGUUCAUGUUCACCUUGUAUGGCAGGGCAGUCUGGAACUCUUUGCUGCCACAGGGGGAGAAUGUUGAUCGAUCCAGGCUAACUAUGGUAAUUCUGUAUCCUAGACCAGUGGUUCACCCAGGAAUGGACAUUUUGCACAAUUUUGGUCAGUGAGGUGAAGUCUGGAACUUCUGGAGUAGUGUUUUCAGCCCUUAAGAAAAUGGAAAUAAGAAAAAUACCAAUUUUUCUGUCUCUAAAUGUCACCGUGUGAGGAUAUGAUACUGGGAACAGCCAUCUUGUGAUCUUGAAGCAAAGGCCAAGAUGAUUGCAGAGAUGGUUGACAUCAUUGAGCUCCUGACUGAACUUCCCUGGAAUUUCCUGGUGCCUAGACUUCCUGUCGGAGUAUCAAGCCACACAUCUAAAUCUACAUGUCUCUAAUUUUCAAGAACUUUUAAGUCUGACAAUAUUUGUAGUAAAGAAUUUGGUCUGAUCCAUGGCGCUAAGGAUCUGAAGUGUGAAGUAAGACCUGGAAAAGGAACUAUGAGAAGUUCACCUACAGAGACAGAGGAGGAAUUGAUCUUCCUCAGGCUUGUACUCUUAAGGGGAGUGAGGAAAGCAUAUAUCUGAGAAGCAAUGACUCUCCAAAACCCAGGAGCCAAGAAGAGGGAGAAAGGGGCCUGCCCUGGAUUUCUGCACAGGCACAGCAGCCACAAAUCCUGUGCCAGCGGUUUCCACUCUCCUGCUACUGAGUGCUCACCCCACAUUGCUGACCACCUGCUUCCUGCUGCGGUGGACUGAAGCGGCCCCUGCUCCUCACCGAGAAAGCUGCUGGAAGCUAAUAAUGGAAGGUCAUGUUAAAUGCUGGUGUUCUCCUGGUGGGGGUCGUCGGCGGUGGCAGAGAGAUUUGCUCAGUCUGUGACAUGAUGCCUCAAACUCAGCAACAAGUCCUUCAUAUCUGGGUCUCAGCAAUCCCGCUACUCAGAACCUUGACCCACCUUUCAAUAUCCACAUCUUACCAAUACAAAAGCCAGAGCCCACAUCUUCUCCAUAGAAAUAACUAGCUCAGGGCUAUAAAAGUAUUUCAUGUUGAGCAGAUAAAGACCUUUACACACCCUAAACCCUGAGAAGAUUAGGGUAUAUUCUCCACCAUAUAUAAUUCAAAUAUAAACAAACAUAAGGGACUACAUUCAAGUUCUGAUCUUUUUCUAUGACUGCUUCAGUGUGCUUUUUACAUGUCAAAACCUGUUAAUAAGCAAGUUUAUUUUUUUUUUAAUUUAUUGUCACUGCUGAUACAUUUGGCUUUAUUUCUAUCAUCCUACUUUGUGUUUUCCUUUUAUCAUGAUCUUUUUCCAUUGGAAUAGUCAAGUUUGCUUUAUUAUCCUUUGACCACCUGUGGGUUUGGAAUUUGUUCAUUCCAUUUUUAGUCUUCUAGUGGUUACUGUUUGCAGUGACUUCUGACACCAAAUUCCCAGAGUUGGGCCGUACUUCACAGGUUCAGGGCAUAGUCCUUUGCAAGAUUGAUCUCCCUUUGGACACUAGUCACAAGUUUGGGUUUCCCAGGCCAUCUGCACUUCCAACCAACUUGCUGCAAUUUGGAGGGUUCUUUCACUGACUCAAAUUCUGUAAUGCACUAGAAUGACCCACAAAACACAAGGAAGCCUAUACUUCCAAGUUUUAUUAUAAAAAAUAGAAGGGAAUACACAUCCAAAUCAACCAAAAGAAAAGAACAUAGGAUGAGGUCUGAGAGAGUCCCAAAUGUGAAGCUUCCGUGUCCUCAGGGAAACAUCAUCCUCCCAGCACAUUCGUGUGUGACGAUGGGCAGAGCACUGCCAACCAGGGAAGUUCAGCUGAGCUCUGAUAUCCAUGGUUUUCAGUGGAGCACGACUACAGAGGCAGGAUUGAUUGAGUCGCUAGCUGUGGGAUUAAGCUUGAGCUCCAGCUUCCGUUUCUCCUCUGGAGGCUGGACUGAUACCACGUGACUCAAAGCCCUAAUGCUCUAACAUGGCUGGUCUUUCUGUUACGGCCAGCCCCCGUCCUGAGUCAUCUCAUCAACCUGAACUAUGUUGGGGUACACCAUGAGUCACCUCCUGAGCUUAAACUCAGGUAUGGUCCGAGAGGUCCACCCUAAAUAUCAAAGACUCCUAUCAUUUGGGAAAUGCUGAGGGUUUGGAGGCUUCCUUGCAGGAACCAGGGAAAAAUUCUGUAUUAUACACCAUUAUUUUUUUUUCUGAUUGAAAAUGAGUUUAAUUUCAUUUGGCUUUGUUUACAAGUCUUCUUUUCCACCUUAUUCCAUGUAUAUACUAUCAUAAAAAAUAUUUGGGUUAGAAUUUUUUCUUUUUUUUUUUUUCUGAGACAGAGCCUCAC